UACAGGGGGGGCAAGCGUUGUUCGGAAUUACUGGGCGUAAAGGGUGCGUAGGUGGUUUGUUAAGUCUGCUGUGAAAUCCCCGGGCUCAACCUGGGAAUGGCAGUGGAUACUGGCAAGCUAGAGUGCGGUAGAGGGUAGUGGAAUUCCCGGUGUAGCAGUGAAAUGCGUAGAGAUCGGGAGGAACACCAGUGGCGAAGGCGGCUACCUGGACCAGCACUGACACUGAAGCACGAAAGCGUGGGGAGCAAACAGG
rnacentral:rRNA from 1 species